rnacentral:lncRNA from 1 species
UCACCCUUCCAAUUCUUGAAACCCUAACUUCUGUGACCCUCAUACUCACUAUAUAUAAGAGCUAUCAAGUCUCAGCCAAACCAUGCCUCAUUCAUCUUUUUCUUUCAGACUCUAGCCUCCUCCUUUCUCAUCACAAUCUUCUUUCGUCGAACACCGAAUAUGAAUGGUUGCGGCUCCAGUUCCGGUUCCUGUUCUAGAGGUUAUAACUUCUAUGUUUCUGUUUUUGGUUAAAACUAGUACUUCUCAAGGUUUGAAAGUUGUAGAUUUGGUGGUCUACUUUGUUUUCUGGGGAUACUCUCCAGUUUUGCCACAUUGGCUCAAUAUAUUUUGUUGAUUUCGCCUUCACAGGGUUUUCCAGUUCCUCUGUAUGGGCAGGAUUCUCUGGCAGAAGAUCAAAGAUCAAGUAAGCCCAGUGUUUAUUACUGUUUAACAUCAGUGUACUGCACUACUGUGUACGAUUAUAAGUUGGGUUUGUGUUGGGCUCCUACAAACUGUGUGGCUUGAUUGCUAUAUUCUUAGCUAGGACUAAUCUUGGUCUUAACUGCCAUUUUAGGCAUCUUGAAUCAGUCUGCUUGUUUGGAAUUGGAGGUAUUGGCAAGAAGCAGCUAUCAUCUUCCGGGUGCAUCAUUCCGGCCUUGUAGUUUCCGGGGAAACGGCGAUUGUGACAUUCAGUCAAAUUCAGCUUGUUAUACUGGACUACCAACAAGGCCCCAUUGGCGGCUUUGAUUUUUUCUGGAGAAUCAAUUGCUAGAUUAGAAUUGUUGUCCGGUACAAGACCAAAGCUAUUAGGCCUCGUUUGAUUCGUAGAAAGAAAAGUAGUUCUCUUGGCUUUCCCACGGGAAGUGAGAGAGAAGAGAAAUGAAAUUUCCUGAAGACUUUUCGUUUCGAUGUUUGGUAACAUAAGGAAAAUCAUCCGGAAAGUUGUUGAUUAAAAUAAUAUAUUGUGAGUAAUAAAUGCAAAAAAAGGAGAUGGGAAAGUGGUUCCUAUGGAUUUUGGAAUGAACAACUUUCUCUUAUAUUUUCCAACCUUAAGGAAAGUAUUUCCUUUCCUUUAGUAUUCCCAAACGCAGAAAAUGAAUAACUUUCUUUUCCUAACGGUUACUUUCCAUUAACCAAAUGAGGUGUUAAGAAACAUGAUAGUUUUUAUUUAAAUAUUAUAACGUCUUUUAGGCUUCGUCAUUCCGUCUCAAGGUUUUCAAGACAUGAGGCUUCGAUGAGACACCUCACCUUACGCUUUCGAUAUUUUACAUGUUGCAUGGUACUUGAUCGUGGUGCCCUAGCUAGCAUAGGAGUUAUGCAAUCGUUAUUUCUUAUUACUUGUGUCAAAUGGAGCACUGAGCUCAUGAGAGCAGGCGUGUCUUGUUGGAGGGAGUGAUCUUGCCUGGCCCUCUCAGCCUUCAGAAUUCUAGUAUCACUUGCGUAGAUUGGUCUAGUUGAAAUCUGAAACACUAUGUAAUUCACUUGGACAUAUCAAACAAGGUGAUGAAAUUGUUCACAAACUAUUGAACCCGAUGGAAUUGAAGUUCAUCACAUGUAUCGUAUUACUAGGGCUAGGUCUCCAGGGCACAUUAAGACAUUGCUUCCAUUAUAAGUUGCUACUACUAUUCUACUAUGUUCUUUGAUAAAGGCGUUGUCGAAAACUCUCAAACCCAAACUAUACAGGUGCUCCGUUACAAGUUCCAAUCACAUUGAC